rnacentral:rRNA from 1 species
AGUGAACGCUGGCGGUAGGCCUAACACAUGCAAGUCGAACGGCAGCACAGUAAGAUCUUGCUCUUACGGGUGGCGAGUGGCGGACGGGUGAGGAAUACAUCGGAAUCUACUUUUUCGUGGGGGAUAACGUAGGGAAACUUACGCUAAUACCGCAUACGACCUACGGGUGAAAGCAGGGGAUCUUCGGACCUUGCGCGAUUGAAUGAGCCGAUGUCGGAUUAGCUAGUUGGCGGGGUAAAGGCCCACCAAGGCGACGAUCCGUAGCUGGUCUGAGAGGAUGAUCAGCCACACUGGAACUGAGACACGGUCCAGACUCCUACGGGAGGCAGCAGUGGGGAAUAUUGGACAAUGGGCGCAAGCCUGAUCCAGCCAUACCGCGUGGGUGAAGAAGGCCUUCGGGUUGUAAAGCCCUUUUGUUGGGAAAGAAGAGCAGCAGGUUAAUACCCCGCUGUUCUGACGGUACCCAAAGAAUAAGCACCGGCUAACUUCGUG